UUCUCCUCGCCCCAGCGCAUAGUGGGUUUUGGCAGUUUGGUGAGCGUUCAACAAAACUUAAGUUUGCCCUGAAUUAUGAAAUUCCCUCUCUCAUUGCCGGUUAUUCGGCAAAUGCUGACCACCUCUGUGGGUCGAGGCCGUCCCAGAUCCCACAGAUCAACUCACAGAGGAAGCUGUGCCCUCCUGGUCAUUUAUCCAAGGUCAGCACAUUUGCUACCCCAGUUCUCGUUGGGAAUCUGGGGAGCAUGUGAGUCCUGGCCUUGAAGGCCGGAACCCCGGGAUGCCCACAGCCUCCUCUCGCUGUAGAAGCAGAGGUGAGCUGAAUUCCUUCUGCGGACCUUGUAGGCCUGAGCAAGGAGUUUCUGAGAUUCUCAGCUCCUUGCAGAGCUUGCGGGGGAAGGGUUCACGGCAACAGGGGUUAGGACGACUCUUCAAAAGCCGGCUGCCAGCUUCUGCCGGGGGCUUGUCAGAAUUGCUCGAGAGGAAGAAAAAAGUGAGCGAGGGAGAGACAAGUGCACACAGACAUUUUUAAAGUAGCUAGCAACCAAGACAACACCAAUUAUUUAACCACACUAAAGAAACCAGCAGCCAAACCACAGAUUAUUUAACCGCAUAUCCAAGUGCCGAGCACAGCCGUAGCCAGCCACGGUCUAGUAAUGUAAAUAUCCCCAGCAGCCGGUUCCCAGGGCGGCAAGAACUCCGGAGCCGGGACAGCGCCUCACCUGGUCCUGUCUCUGCUCCAGAUGUGUGGAGCUGAGAAACUGGCUCCAAUCCAGCCAGGACUUCCCUUUUGUUUACUUUUCACGUUUACAUUAUUGUUUCUCUAAAAACAGACCUGCUCCUCCCCUACUGAGCUGUGAGUCUCUCGUGGGCAUGUGUACACCGGGAAGCUGUUCCCACGGAGAAGUCCCUCUUUGUCAGCCUGUCUCUAACUUUCCUUUUUAUUCCCAUCCCCUUUCUCCCUUUUUCUUUCAGUUCUUUGGUAAUGUUCAGUAACUCAAGGUUCACUCUCAGAGAGUGUUCAUAGGACAACAGUCACUUUCUUCUUUGCCAUCAGCAAUGCCGGGAUCCACAAAGGUGGAAGUUUCUCCGAGAGUCCCUCCCACAGAGAAGAUCCUGUGAAUGGUGACUUGUACAUGUCCAUUUGAAGAGCCCAGCUGUGGGCUAGCCUGCAGAGGAAGGACUUGCAACCAGUGCCUGCCAGCUGAUACACGAAGAGCAGGGAUUUGGAGUGACAGCUGUCUGUCUCAGACAUCUAGACUCAGCACACACAACAUCCUAUACCGGGCUUACCUGGAGCAACUGGCAGGGGAACCUAGUCUACCAGGCCCUUAAAUGAUCCUUCAGCCUUUAGCCCCUGGCUUGAUGUUGGCCAGUGAUUUUAGCCAGCAGACAGAGUGAGCUGCAGGAGCCAAAGAAGCCACUGGCUAGGACCGUUAUGACAGGCUGCGGCGCACAUGUUGUGUGAAUAUCUAUUGGCUAAGACAUGUCCACAAGUCUUUGUAUAUAUUACUAAUCACUCUAUUCCAGGAGGUGCCA